AUGUCUCAGUCAGGUAAAAUCCUCCACCUGUAUGUAGAGGUGAAACCUGUCACUAAUGGAGAAGGAAAAGACCUGGGAGAUGUGGCGAAAACAGACUCCCUCAUGUUGACAGCACCAGACAUUCUUCAGUCAUCACAGAAUGGUGGCCCAAUUGCACCACAUGGCCGGACAUCCCCACAUGGAGUACUGCAUAAAAGUGGAAGCAGCACCAAGACCAUGGCCUCUAGUAAAUCAACAUCUAGACACUCUGUAAGUUUUCAGCUACAUCCAAAACAUGACUCAGACCAACCGGUGACCCAACAGCAGAAAAGUCUACAUUAUGAUGAGAUAAAUCAGUUAAUGUCUGUCUUUCAAAAAGAUCCCACUGGAAAUGCAUGUCACUUGGUGUGUGCUCCUUCUGAAAGUGUCCCCUUCUUUGGGAAGGAACCUCACUUCUCAGGACGGUUUACUGCCCCUCCUACUCCCAGUGGAACUCGUAAAGCUUGCAGCCCAAAUAAGGUAAAGGGAGGAAAUGAAGGGAGGCGAUCUGUCGCCACUUUCAGUUACAUUGAAAAAGCUCAAAUGAAAUCAGUAGAGGGUCAGUAUAGCUCUUUAUGCCAAAGUGAGCCUCAGAAUCCUUUCAACAGAACCAUGGAGGAGAGUGCGACCCCUCUUCACCUCAGGAAAAGGCUAAGUGAUCCAGUGUGGUUCAGUAGCUUGGAAUCAAUGAAUAACUGUAGUUCAAAACAGCUUAGUCAAGGUUUGGGAAACUCACAUAUAGGUACGCCCAGCUUUAGGAGGGCAACUCUAGACUCCAUUGGCAGAGAAGCCAGACAUCAAGCAUUGGAAGAAUUUGGUUCCCCACAACUAAGGCAAAAACUGGCCGGCAACUGUCCUGAAAUAGGUCAUGAUGUCAGAAGAGAAGAGCAGCAUCGCUGUCGGUCUUGGUCUGGAUCACCAGUGAUACCAUGCAGUUCUAGGACCCUGCCCUCCAAAGCAACAAUAAUGGACCAUGAGCAGAAUAGUUUGUUUUAUAGAAUUCCUCCGAGCCAUGCUACCGACCAACUGUCUAAUCAUGCCAAGCGAGCUUACUUUACAAUGUCACACUCAAGCACCAACAGUCAGGAGGACUCAAACCAAAGAGCAAAUCAACCAUCAAGCAAUCAACAAAUCAGUCAUUCCAUAAGUGAUAGUCCACGGCAAGCCCACAGAGUUAAUUUCAACCUGGCCAACUCACAAAAUAAUGUAGAAGAAGGAGCUAACCAACUGAGUGGAAGGAGGAGCGUAUCCCCAGCCACAAGUCCCGAAAUGGCUUGUAAACUAGCAGAAGAAGCCACCAAACUUUCCAUACUUAUGGAAGCCAGGAGGUCUCCAACCCCAUCUUCAACAGACACAGUAAGGUCUUACAGUCCCCAGCUGGGACAUUCAAGAGAGCCUCAGCUCUAUGCUAACUUCCAAUGCUCUGGAGAACCAACCCACUCUAGUUGCAACAUUCCUAGUCAGGAGUACAACUGUAAACAAGGGUUUGUCAAAAUGGGUCACCAUUCUGUUCAAACAACCCCUCUUUUUCCCCACAUUGGAAGUAUAUCUCCAACAGCUCCAGCAAGGUUGAACCGAUCAGAUGUAAUACCGUCCUCUCCAAUACGAGACCCACGGAUAGAGAGAACACAGUUGGUAGGGAGAGACAGCCCAACUUUGCAUCGGCACCUACCUUCCCAGUACACAAAAGACAGUCAUACACAUAGCUAUGAUCAUAGGCAGUAUGGGACACUCAGAAGUCUCAAAGACAGUCCAAAUAGCAGCAGGAGACAUUUUACAAGGCCUAACCUAGAGACACCAAGCUGGACCACUCAGCAAAAUCAUGGGGUAAAGGAAUGCUUAGCCAGAGAAAAGGAAAACUUAAUGGAGAUGGACAGUCAUAGGAGGAAUAGUCCAACAACACCAGUCUCUCAAGAGAACCAUUGUAGGGUCUCAAUGCAGAAAAAUGAGAUGAAAGCUGACACUAGGACUAACAAGGAGUGGAGUGGUACAGCAUCACAGAGUUCCAGUGGGGUCACAGGCAGCCUUAUAGAGAGCACUCUACAUGAGAAAGACUGCAUAUCCUCUGAGAUAUCUAGAAAAACCAGCCAAAAGAGUCCUGACUCUGGAAACACAGGAAUACAGGUAAUCUUGGUACACAUCUUUAGAUUCAUCUCAUGCCUUGAUUCACUGCUUGAUUUUGUUGUUUGA
ensembl:lncRNA